rnacentral:lncRNA from 1 species
CUCCCUCUUUUCCUUCCCUCCCUUUCCCCUCUCCCUCCUCCCUUUCCUUCCUCCCUCUCCUCUCUUCCUCCCCCAUUUUUCUUCCCCUUCCCGCCGGCCACUCCUUUUCCGCCGCCUGCGUGCCGCCGCUGGCUCAUUCUUCCCCUCCCGCCGCUGCACGCCGCCUCUAUCUCCUCCAUCCUUCCGCGCGGCGUCGACAAGUAAAAGAAGGGUUGCCGUCGCCGAUUCAGCCCCCUGCAGCCGUCCUUUCCGCAAACCGACGCCGGAAUCGGACUCCCCACCCCCGAAAACCCUGGAAACGACCCUCCUCCGCCGGAAAAGCCUCGCCGGCAGCCUCGGGAAGCGUCGCCAGAGCAGCGUCUUUCCGGCCUCGAUCCGCCGCCUUCCGGACACUUUCCGGCCGAAAAUUUUGUACUUCCGGACUUUCCGCAACUCGAGCUUCGUGUAGGCGCUUCCGGAUUCGAAUUUCGACACCAUUGGUAGGACCGGCUUCCGGACCCCGUGUUUUCCGGACGCACAAAAUAUUUCAAUUUCGGCUCGAUAUAAUUUUAUUUACACUCUGAAAAUUAUGUUGUAAUAUUAGAAAAUUAUUGUGGCUAUAAAUUGCUCGUGAUGAUUAUUUUAAAAAUAAAUCGAGUUUAAUUACUUGUGUUGUGGUGUUGCAGAGUCGGAAAAAAUAUUAGUACAGUUCUUGUGGCCCGGCUUCUGUUAUUUAAUUCCAGCAUAUUUGAUGUGUCUUUGGCAGAUCUUGAACCCGUUUUACGGAGGGUAAAUAUCCGUAAUUUAUGAGAGAUUCUACUGAAUUUUCGGCGGAUUUCUCGAGUCUAAUUUAAUUUUAGGCAGUCUACUCUAGGGUCUAAGUUUAGAAAAAUUUUUACGAAUAUCUAUUAAUUGUAUAUUUUUCGUUACUAGAUAAUUCAGCCUCCCCGCCAGCUCCACCCGAGGCAUAGGAGCGGAUAGCGGAACGCGUCAGAUCUGUGAGUUAAAGUCACUUAAUUGUUGCACUAUUGCUAAAUCUGAAUUUAAUAUGCUAUUUUAGAAAUUUAUGCUUAAUAUGAUUAUUAGCAUCGUAAUAUAAAUAAUUUUACUUGAUUAUUAAUUAUUGAAAAUAAUAUAAAUAUUAUUAUUAGUAAUAUUAUAAUAAUACAAAUACCAUUCUUGUAAUGUGCCAGUGAACCUUGAUGUGAAUUCUGUUAAGACAGCUUGGAGACUAGCUUGGGGGUUUAUCAUUUGGUAUCAGAGCCAGUAACCCACAGGUCCCAGGUUGUGAAACAUGGAAACCAGUAUUAGCCCUAUUUCUAUUAUUCAAACUUCUUCUCUUACUCUACCUACUUCUUGUAAAAAAAAUAUUACAGACAAGAUAGAUAACCUGGUAGAAAUAUCUCAUAUACCUUAUACAGCCCAGAGCCAGAACUCCCUUGUGCCUAUACUUAAUCCCUACUCUGUUUUCCGCCGUAAUCAGUCUUUUUCCAGAUCUCUAAGACAUUAUCUCUAGACCCUCUGUUGCAGUGAAAGAAUAUGUACAGUCAUCUGCUCUUUCUCAGUGUGUUCUUUCUUCAGUAACAACAGAGAUCCCUCCACACUUUAUUCAGCAGUGGAGACAACAGAAGUAUACCCAUCUCCACUUCGGAGCCAUCAGACUUGUUCUCUCCUAUCACGGGAGACAAGGACUUCCAGUUACAGCAAGACUCUCCUUGUUAGAUACCCGGUAUCUAAAUUAUGAACAUGCUGUAAUCGGCUCUAUUGCUACAACUUUGAAUGCAGGGAGAGUAGUGCUAACGUUUUUCUCUAAUUUCAAUAUGUUGUUGGAAGAUUCACAUCUUAGUCAGGCCUUGAAGGUUCAAGUCCAAAUUACAGGCGCUGACCAGGUCGCCGAUACCAUUUCGGCUACCUUUCAUCACCAGAUGGUUUACAGGCUUCAAGACCAUGCAAUAAAUCUGCAGACUCCUGGUCUCUCUAGCGGAGACGCAGUGUUUAUCUUUGCUGACAGUGGUCUUACUCCCACCAUAGUUCAGACUCCUAGGCAGUUGCCUAGAGAGGAGCUGGAGAAGUUUAUCCCCUCUGUAUGGAUCACAAAUUAUGAGAAGCUUCAUCAAAGCUCACAGCCUGUCCAGAAACAAGAUCCAAUAUUCAUCAAACAGCUUGACAAGUCUGUCAAGGUUUCAUAUCUAUCAUCCACAGUAUCAUCAUCUUCAAAUCCUCAUACUAUCUCUAUGAUUCAACCAGUACAGAGAUCCUAUGAGAAGAAGAUUCCCAUUCACAGCUUCAGAUCAAACGGAUGGGAAGUCUAUAAGGGCAAGAUUAAUGGUCACUUUAUUUGGGAUGUUAAUCCCUCCAUAUGCGAUGUUGGAUGUAAUUGCCAAGAUGAUCUGGAUGAUUUAGAAAUCGGAUCAAAGGGGACUAAGACUUGAAAAAGAAAGCAUACAUGUACUAGUCCACCUCGAUAUGAUGACAAAGACGAUGAUCAACCUGAUUCUAUUCAGGUUCCUGUACAAACCAGGAAAGGAAGACCCUGGAUUGGUCUUCCACCAGAAAAGAACAAACCAAUGUCCAAUGAUGAUUAUCUGAAGAGAUGCUUUGAAAUAUUAAAGGAAGAAGGACCUUUGACUUGUCCUCCUCCUCCAGUAGUUUGUUCUUGUUCUUUUGAACCAGUAAAGAUCCCAGAGCCAGUCGCAGUGCCAUGUUUUAUGGUUAACUCAGAGGAAUUUCCUCCUCUGGUGAGGAAAGAAAAUGAACAUACCAAAGCGCCUGCCCGUCCUUUCAUUGUGAAGGAUACAGUCCAACCUGCAGGCAGUUUGGCCCCUCUCUCAGCUGCAGAAGAAGUUUUGAACUGGCAGACAAACAAUGCUGUUGCCCAGAAUUACUACCUAGAAAAGAUUGGCAAUAGACUCUCAGAAGUCUAUGAAAAAACCAGUUCCAUAAAAGCUCAUGUCACUUCAUUCAGAGAAGAAGCUUUACGGUUGCACACGAAGCUUUCGUCCGGACUAUUUAAGCUCGAACAAGAGAUGGAACAGAUUCUGGCAACUCAGCCUACAUCACCUUUGUUCUGGCAAAAGGACAAAGAGAUCUUAAGGCUGAAAGAGCAACUUUGGGAAAUAGAAAGAGAUCUUUACCCUUCUAAGCAAUCUACCUCUUCUCCACUAAAUUUUUCCAUUGCUACACCUCAUCCUUUCAUGUCUACGGUUAUGCCUGUUAAACAAUAUGCUACAGUCUCAGACUUGGUGCCUCGAGCAUCUAAACCGGCAUCCAAACCCGCAAAAAGGACAUCCUCUACUCCCUCAUCCUUUCCAUCCAAGCCUUCAAAGGAUAAAGGACUUGCUAAGCCACAGAUGGCUAUAUAGCAAAACCCUCCUGUCUUUACGGAGUCGACUCCCUCUUCAACUGAGUCGUAUAUUUCAGAUUCAGACCUGUCUCAAUUUGAACUACAACGCUUCAGUUCUUCCUCUUCUGAUCGAGGGACUGAUAUCUCUGUAUCAACAGUUGAAUUUAGAACACAAGGUCCUUAUGUGUUGAUGAACACACAGCAAAAGCCCGAAAUUACUGAAGAAACUGAAGAAUUAGAAUCUCUUGCUCUAGAACAUUCUCUCCCGCCAAAACCAGGUUCUGGUCCCUGGUUCUCUUUGGAUACUGUGCCUCCAUCACAAUGGCGUAACAAGAUCUUGGAAUUCAAUGCUUGGCGUGAUCUCCAAAUGAUAAACCCCCAAGCUAGUCUCCAAGCUGUCUUAACAGAAUUCACAUCAAGGUUCACUGGCACAUUACGGGAAUGGUUUUCUCACCUGUCUGAAUAUCAACAGCUUCAAUUUGUUCAACUUGGUUCUGUCACUCAAGCUCUAGCACAGAUCCAUCAGCAGUUUCUAGGAGACUACAAUUUGAUUUUCAGACAAAGGAAACAAAAAUACUUUGACAGAAAGUGUUGUUCCAUGAAAAGAAAAGAUCUUGAAGACCAUUAUGUUCAUAUGUCUCAACUUUACUAUGAACUUGUUGGUCCAAACAUUGAUGAUCUAAAGUACACCUUCGUCAGUUCUCUACCGGAAGAAAUGCACCCUGAGAUUCAGAGAAUGAUGACAGACACACAUCGAGACAUCACUCAAAUCUCUCUUGGAGAGAUCUGGCAAUUUACAAUGGCUACUCUGGAUAAAAUGUGUGAGCAGCAAAAGCUAUUCAAGAAGAUUGCAAAAGGAGAAGCACUGUUGAAAAAUCUCUGCAAUCGGGAUUAUUUGCAAAUCAAAUGCAAGGAUAAGCAUUGUACGUGCAAGACAAAGAAGAAGAAGCAUUUUUCUUAUUCAUAGAAAUCUCCCCAGUAUAAACAGAAUAAAGGAAGGAAAUUACGCUGGUUCAGAAAGAAGGUAACAAGCAAGCAUAAAUCUGAUCGAUGUUACAUCUGUGGUCAAUCAGGACACUAUGCAAAGAGAUGUCCCAAUAAGCCUAAGAAAACUGUUGCACUUCUUCAUCAACUAAAGACUUCAUAUCCAGAUGACUUAUCCGAUCAUGAUCUUGAAUCUCUCUUUUCAGAAGAAGAAAUGACGUCUUCUCAGACUCUAUUUGCUAUUCCAUAUUCAGAUACCAGCGCAGACGGUGAAAGUUCUUCGGACGAAGAAACAUCUAUUUUUACUAUUGUCCUGCACUCCAAGUAAAACAGGAACCACCUGAUUAUACUCUUGCAGAUAUAGCUUACUGUUUUCUUGAGAUACCUUCUCCAAGAAAGAUACUCACACCAGUCCAAAGCAGAUCUUCUUCUAUACCAUUACCCAUUCCUACUUCUCCAGAAAGUAUGAAAAGUUCAUCCCCACCAGAAGUCACGUCAGCACAACCCAUUCAUCCUACACCUUUGGUAUCCAUCCAUGUCUUAGCUGGCAAAUAUGGGAGACCUAUUUCUAUUACUGCCUUAAUAGAUAUUGGAUCUCACUGUACAAUGAUGAAUCCUGAUGCUUUACCUAACUCAGCCUGGAAGAAAAAGAUUUGUCACUUCCUAGCAGCUGAUGGCAAGAGUUUUCAAACUACAAUGAUCUCCAAGGAUAAGAUUGGAAUACAGUUCUUCCCUGACUGUAUUGUAUGGAUUCACGUUAUUGGUUCUUAUCUAUUUGGAAGAGAUCUUCUAGUUGGGUUUGAUACUUAUCAUGCGGCAAAAAGGUUACAAAUCCUGCCAACGGGGCUAAAGUAUAAACAGGAAUUUCUCCCUUAUACUCAGAAUCCCAACCAGUUCUCUAUUUCAGAAGUCCCACUGGACUUUGCUCACUUGAAAGAGUUGUUCGCUCCAUGCUGUGCUGAUUCUCAUAGAAAAUUCUAUCACCCUUCUCCACUAUACAAGAAUCCAGACUUCUUCAUCACUCUCCCUUUCAAAUUAAAUGAAGAUGUCAACCCUACUAAGGCCAGCCAUCCUGGAAUGUCCCCAUCUGACUUGGUUUUAGCAAGACAAGAAUGCCAAGAGCUCCUCCAGCAAGGUUUGAUUGAACCUACACAGUCUCCUUGGGCAUGUCAGGCGUUCUAUGUGGAAAAGAGAUCAGAGAAAUUAAGAGGAAAGAAAAGGCUCAUCAUUAACUACAAGCCUCUUAAUCAUUUUCUUUCAGAUGAAAAAUUCCCAAUUCCUAAAAUCUCUUCUCUCUUUAUCCGUCUCCAAGGAGCAACCUAUUUCUCUAAGUUUGAUUUAAAGUCAGGAUUUUGGCAGUUAGGCAUUCAUCCUGAAGAAAGAUACAAGACCGCCUUUUGCAUCCCAGAUGCUCAGUAUCAGUGGACUGUUAUGCCCUUUGGGCUUAAAACAGCUCCUUCCAUCUUUCAGAAGGCAAUGGUCAGAAUUUUUGAGCCAAUCCUACACACCUGUAUCAUCUACAUAGAUGAUAUCCUCCUUUUCUCUAAGUCAGGAAAAGAGCAUGAUGAUCUUCUCAAAAGAUUCCACAGUUUAGUCCAUUCCUAUGGGAUAAUGCUUUAUGAAAGGAAAUCUUACAUUGGACAAACUGAAGUUGACUUUCUCGGGCUUAAACUAAAGAAUGGGCAGUAUGAAGCAGGCUCACACUUAGCCCAAGAAUUGCGGCAUUUCCCCAAUGAAAAUUUAUCCAAGAAGCAGAUUCAACAGUUUCUAGGGAUCAUUAAUUACAUUCGAGAUUUCAUCCCAAAGGCCGCAACCCAUACAAAACCCCUGACUGCAAGGCUAAAGAAAAAUGCGGGCCCAUGGACUCAAGCCCAUACUGAAGCUGUUAAGAUGUUAAAACAGCUGGCCCAAAAGACUCCAGCCCUCACUAUUCCUGCUGAUGACGCACAGCUGAUCCUUCAGACUGAUGCAAGUGACUAUGCUUGGGGCGCUAUUCUUCUCCAGAAACGGGAAAAUAAGGAGUCACUAUGCAGACACGUGUCGGGACAAUUCAAGGACAGUGAACUUCAUUAUCAUUCAAACAUCAAGGAGAUUCUGGCGGUAAAAUAUGCAAUUCAAAAAUGCGAGUUCUUCGUGGCCUCAAGACAUUUUAUAAUUAGAAUGGACAAUUCUAAUUUUCCUCGCAUUCUGGAAUUCAAGGGACGACAAAUCCCUGACAAACAACUUCUCCGCCUGAAAGAGUGGUUCUCCCAAUAUGAUUUUGAAGUACAACACAUCCAAGGUGAUAAAAAUCUUAUCCCUAACUUUCUAUCCCGACUAUCCAAAUCUUUUAUGAACUCUCUUAGUCCUUCCUUCUUUAUCUUUAUGGCACAAUUCAGUCCCAGGACUUUACACCCAAAUCAACUGAAGGUAUGUCUAUUCAAGAAUUUGAGCUUUGGACUUAUAGACGUAUCUUAGCUUUUUAUCAGACUAUUGUACCAAAUCCAGAAGACUUUUCUGCCUCAUUUCCUUGGAAAUUUUUCCCCACUAUUACAGAAACGUUCCCUUCAUCUUCUGAACAAUUCUGGUAUCUCUGGUACCUCACAUGUCUGUAUCAUCUUCCUGUAGAGCUACCAUUGUUAAAAACCUUGUGGUUCUUACACAGAGAAGAAAAUGAGUCGCAUCCAGCCUGGCAUUUCUUCCUAAUAUUUGAUAACCAACAGGCAUGGCAAUACCGACUCAGAAGGUUGGUUCACCAAGCAGGUCUUCUACACAUGGCAGAUCAUGAUAAGACUUUGACUUAUCAUACCAUCCUCUUUCUCCAUCAACAACACAAUUUGAAUGACACUGUUUCAACAGUUAUUACAGAAUGGAGAACUCUUCCUGGACGUUUUGAAGAAAUGCCCUUUGCCACUAAACAUGCUUUACUUCACAAAGGGAAUGAGCUAAAUCAUACAGCCAAUGAGGUUAUUCCAGUCAUCAACAUGCAAAGGUGAUCCUCAGAUCAAACAUGGUUGUUCACCUCUACUUCUUCAACACAGUCCCCAUCAGCUAGUCAACAAUCUGAAGCCAUAUCCUUAACGACAGCGAAUCUAGCUUUUUAGGAGCCAUGGUCAUAGCCAGAAGAAUCUCUUCUAUCAGCCUCAUAACUUCUGGCCCAAAUGGCGCCAUUAAGGUCUUCUAGGCCUUGUCCAUCUGACAAGCCCAGCCCAUCAAGAAGAAGACGUCGAAGCUAUAAAGAUAUUGACUCAGAUGAUUCUGAUGAUAACUACUCAGAACGUGGGUCCACAAACAGACAAAUUAAGUGAUGUCAUGAUGCAUUUCCAAUAGCAAGACUCUAUAUUAUGAUCUCCAUUAUUAAAAUUUGUUUGGCCCUAUAUGUUUUGGCUUUGUAUGUCAUUAUUAAAGUCUCUAUUAUUAUAGUCUGUUGGACAUAUAUGUUUUGGAGUCUUGUAAGAAGGAAUAUAUUCCUUCACAUGUAUAGAGAUAAGCUCUAAGAGUCGUGUUAGAUAAGACUGCCAGAUGGCAAUCUCUUAUGGUCAGUGUGGAUUUCUAAAGAGUACCUCUUCUUCUAUAUAAGGAAGAGCUCUCCAGUUUGUAAAACAGGUCGUGAGAAAUAAAACCUCUAUCUUUUCUUCGGACUUGAACCUUCAAGGCCUGACUAAGAUGUGAAUCUUCCAAUGACAUGUUGAAAUUAGGGAAAAACGUUAGCACUAUGCUCCCUGCAUUCAAAGUUGUAGCAAUAGAGCCGAUUACGGGUGAACAGAAGAUCUACAAGUUUCUGAUGUGCAGGAUCCUCUGACGAGGCAAGCACAGAGCAUACGCUUAAUAGAAAGAUGAUAGACCGAAAAGAGAGUAAUAAGACUUUGAAAAUAGAGGGGUGAACAGAAGAUCUACAAGUUUCUGAUGUGCAGGAUCCUCUGACGAGGCAAGCACAGAGCAUACGCUUAAUAGAAAGAUGAUAGACCGAGAAGAGAGUAAUAAGACUUUGAUAACUGUAAAUCUGUAGAGACACUCUAUGUGUAAGGGCACUCCUUCUUUACCAGUAACUCGUUCUCUAAGCCAGGCCGGGAGCUGUUCACUGUACUCACCAGAAAGUACUAUUGAUCAUCAUCAAUCUCUAAGCCAAGCUCACACAUACGCAACCCUACAGCCAACAAAGCCACUCCUGGGCUACAAAUGCCGUUCUGGGUCUUUAAUAUGUAUAAACUUGCUUAGCAGACAAUAAUCGAAACUCAGAAUAGAAUUUCAUAGCUUUACCAUUUCUAAUGGAUACAGGAGACAGAUCAGAAUGAAGAAGGGAGGAGAAUACUGUUAAAGAAGGAGUAUAAAGAAUUUAGAAUGCCAUGAAAGAUAUGAAGAAAAGAUAGAGGUUUUAUUUCUCACGACCUGUUUUACAAACUGGAGAGCUAUUCCUUAUAUAGAAGAAGAGGUACUCUUUAGAAAUCCACACUGACCAUAAGAGAUUGCCAUCUGGCAGUCUUAUCUAACACGACUCUUAGAGCUUAUCUCUAUACAUGUGAAGGAAUAUAUUCCUUCUUACAAGACUCCAAAACAUAUAUGUCCAACAGACUAUAAUAAUAGAGACUUUAAUAAUGACAUACAAAGCCAAAACAUAAAAGGCCAAACAACUCAUAAUGAUGGAGACCAUAAUAUAGAAUCUUGCUGUUGAAAGUGCAUCGUGACAUCACUUAUUUUGUCUGUUUGUGGAUCCACAUUCUGAGUAGUUAUCAUCCGAGUCACUAUCCUUAUNNNNNNNNNNNNNNNNNNNNNNNNNNNNNNNNNNNNNNNNNNNNNNNNNNNNNNNNNNNNNNNNNNNNNNNNNNNNNNNNNNNNNNNNNNNNNNNNNNNNNNNNNNNNNNNNNNNNNNNNNNNNNNNNNNNNNNNNNNNNNNNNNNNNNNNNNNNNNNNNNNNNNNNNNNNNNNNNNNNNNNNNNNNNNNNNNNNNNNNNNNNNNNNNNNNNNNNNNNNNNNNNNNNNNNNNNNNNNNNNNNNNNNNNNNNNNNNNNNNNNNNNNNNNNNNNNNNNNNNNNNNNNNNNNNNNNNNNNNNNNNNNNNNNNNNNNNNNNNNNNNNNNNNNNNNNNNNNNNNNNNNNNNNNNNNNNNNNNNNNNNNNNNNNNNNNNNNNNNNNNNNNNNNNNNNNNNNNNNNNNNNNNNNNNNNNNNNNNNNNNNNNNNNNNNNNNNNNNNNNNNNNNNNNNNNNNNNNNNNNNNNNNNNNNNNNNNNNNNNNNNNNNNNNNNNNNNNNNNNNNNNNNNNNNNNNNNNNNNNNNNNNNNNNNNNNNNNNNNNNNNNNNNNNNNNNNNNNNNNNNNNNNNNNNNNNNNNNNNNNNNNNNNNNNNNNNNNNNNNNNNNNNNNNNNNNNNNNNNNNNNNNNNNNNNNNNNNNNNNNNNNNNNNNNNNNNNNNNNNNNNNNNNNNNNNNNNNNNNNNNNAGUUUCCAAGGAAAUGAAGCGAAAAAGUCUUCUGGAUUUGGUACAAUAGUCUGAUAAAAAGCUAAGAUACGUCUAUAGGCCCAAAGCUCAAAUUCUUGAAUAGACAUACCUUCAGGUUGAUUUGGGUGUGAAGUCCUGGGACUGAAUUGUGCUAUAAAGAUAAAGAAGGAAGGACUAAUAGGGUUCAUAAAAGAUUUGGAUAAUCGGGAUAGAAAGUCAGGGAUGAGAUUUUUAUCACAUUGAAUGUGUUGUACUUCAAAAUCAUAUUGGGAGAACCAUUCUUUCAGGCGGAGCAGUUGUUUGUCAGGGAUCUGUCGCCCCUUGAAUUCCAAAAUGCGAGGAAAAUUAGAAUUGUCCAUUCUAAUUAUAAAAUGUUUUGAAGCCACGAAGAACUCGCAUUUUUGGAUUGCAUAUUUUACCGCCAGAAUCUCUUUGAUGUUUGAAUGAUAAUGAAGUUCAUUGUCCUUGAAUUGUCCUGACACGUGUCUGCAUAGUGACUCUUUAUUUUCCAGUCUCUAGAGAAGAAUAGCGCCCCAAGCAUAGUCACUUGCAUCAGUCUGAAGGAUCAGCUAUGCGUCAUCAGCAGGAAUAGAGAGGGUUGGAGUCUUUUGGGCCAGCUGUUUCAAUGUUUUAACAGCUUCAAUAUGGGCUUAAGUCCAUGGGCCCGCAUCUUUCUUUAGUUGUGCAGUCAGGGCUUUUGUAUGGGCUGCGGCUUUUGGGAUGAAAUUUCGAAUGUAAUUAAUGAUCCCCAGAAACUGUUGAAUCUGUUUCUUGGAUAAAUUUUCAUUGGGGAAGUGUCACAAUUCUUGGGCUAAGUGUGAGCCUGCUUCAUACUGCCCAUUCUUUAGUUUAAGCCCGAGAAAAUCAACUUCAGUUUGUCCAAUGUAAGAUUUCUUUUCAGAAAGCAUUAUCCCAAAGGAGUGGACUAAAUUGUGGAAUCUUCUGAGAAGAUUAUCAUGCUCUUUUCCUGACUUAGAGAAAAGUAGGAUAUCAUCUAUGUAGAUGAUACAGGUGUCUAGGAUUGACUUAAAAAUUCUGACCAUUGCUUUCUGAAAGAUGGAAGGAGCUAUUUUAAGCCCAAAGGGCAUAACAGUCCACUGAUACUGAGCAUCUGGGAUGCAAAAGGCGGUCUUGUAUCUUUCUUCAGGAUGAAUGCCUAACUGCCAAAAUCCUGACUUUAGAUCAAACUUAGAGAAAUAGGUUGCUCCUUGAAGACGGAUCAAAAGAGAAGAGAUUUUAGGAAUUGGGAAUUUGUCAUCCGAAAGGAAAUGAUUCAGAUGCUUGUAAUUAAUGACGAGCCUUUUCUUUCCUCUUAAUUUUUCUGAUCUCUUUUCCACAUAGAACGCCUGACAUGCCCAAGGAGAUUGUGUAGGUUCAAUUAAACCUUACUGGAGGAGCUCUUGGCACUCUUGUCUUGCUAAAGCCAAAUCUGUUGGGGACAUUCCAGGAUGGCUGGCUUUAGUAGGAUUGACAUCUUCAUUUAAUUUGAAAGGGAGAGUGAUAAAGAAGUCUGAAUUCUUGUAUAGUGGAGAAGGGUGAUAGAAGUUUCUAUGAGAAUCAGCACAGCAUGGUACGAACAACUCUUUCAAGUGAGCAAAGUUCAGUGGGACUUCUGAAACAGAGAACUGGUUGGGAUCCUGAGUAUAAUGGAGAAAUUCUCGUUUAUACUUUAGGCCUGUUGGCAGGAUUUGUAACCUUUUUGCUGCAUGAUAAGUGUCGAACCCAACUAGAAGAUCUCUUCCAAAUAGAUAAGAACCAAUGAUGUGAAUCCAUACAAUACAGCCAGGGAAAAACUGUAUUCCAAUCUUAUCCUUGGAGAUUAUUGUAAUUUGAAAAUUCUUGCCAUCAGGAGCUAGGAAGUGAUAAGUCUUUUUCUUCCAGGCUGAGCUAGGCAAAACAUCAGGAUUCAUCAUUGUACAGUGAGAUCCAGUAUCCAUUAAAGCAGUGACAGGAAUAGGUUUUCCAUAUUUGCCAGCUAAAACAUGGAUGGAUACCAAUGGUGUAGGAUGAAUAGGUUAUGCUGAUGUAACUUUUGGUGAGGAUGAACCUUCCAUACUUUCUGGAGAAAUAAGAAUGGGUAAUGGUAUAAAAGAAAAGUUGCUUUGGGCUGGUGUGAGUAUUUUUCUUGGAGAAGCUAUCUCAGGGAAACAGUAAGCUAUAUUUGCAAGAGUAUAAUCAGGUGAGGGUGAGGGUGAUGACCAUUGAAAAACUUCAGAAAUUGAUGAGAGAUCAGGUAGUUCUUGUGUUACCUGAAGCGCAGGACCAAUAGUAAAAACAGAUGUUUCUUCGUCCGAAGAACUUUCACCGUUUGUGCUGGUAUCUGAAUAUGGAAUAGCAAAUAGAGUCUGAGAAGACGCCAUUUCUUCUUCUGAAAAGAGAGAUUCAAGAUCAUGAUCGGAUAAGUCAUCUGGAUUUGAAGUCUUUAGUUGAUGAAGAAGUGCAACAGUCUUCUUAGGCUUAUUGGGACAUCUCUUUGCAUAGUGUCCUGAUUGACCACAGAUGUAACAUCGAUCGGAUUUAUGCUUGCUUGUUACCUUCUUUAUGAACCAGCGUAAUUUCCUUCCUUUAUUCUGUUUAUACUGGGGAGAUUUCUCUGAAUAAGAAAAAUGCUUCUUCUUCUUUGUCUUGCACGUACAAUGCUUAUCCUUGCAUUUGAUUUGCAAAUAAUCUCGAUUGCAGAGAUUUUUCAACAGUGCUUCUCCUUUUGCAAUCUUCUUGAAUAGCUUUUGCUGCUCACACAUUUUAUCCAGAGUAGCCAUUGUAAAUUGCCAAAUCUCUCCAAGAGAGAUUUGAGUGAUGUCUCGAUGUGUGUCUGUCAUCAUUUUCUGAAUCUCAGGGUGCAUUUCUUCCGGUAGAGAACUGACGAAGGUGUACUUUAGAUCAUCACUGUUUGGACCAGCAAGUUCAUAGUAAAGUUUAGACAUAUGAACAUAGUGGUCUUCAAGAUCUUUUCUUUUCAUGGAACAGCACUUUCUGUCAAAGUAUUCUUGUUUUCUUUAUCUGAAAAUCAAAUUGUAGUCUCCUAGAAACUGCUGAUGGAUAUGUGCUAGAGCUUGAGUGACAGAACCAAGCUGAACAAAUUGAAGCUGUUGAUAUUCAGACAGGUGAGAAAACCAUUCCCGUAAUGUGCCAGUGAACCUUGAUGUGAAUUCAGUUAAGACAGCUUGGAGAUUAGUUUGGGGGUUUAUCAUUUGGAGAUCAAGCCAAGCAUUGAAUUCCAAGAUUUUGUUACGCCAUUGUGAUGGAGGCACAAUAUCCAAAGAGAACCAGGGACCAAAACCUGGUUUUGGCGGGAAAGGAUGUUCUGGAGCAAGAGAUUCUAAUUCUUCAGUUUCUUCUGUAAUUUCGGGCUCUUGCGGUGUGUUCAUCAACACAUGAGGACCUUGUGUUCUAGAUUCAGCUGUUGAUACAGAAAUAUCAGUCCCUCGAUCAGAAGAGGAAGAGCUGAAGUGUUGUAGUUCAAAUUGAGACAGGUCUAAAUCUGAAAUAUACGACUCAGUUGAAGAAGGAGUCGACUCCGUAAAGACAGGAGGGUUUUGCUGUAUAGCCAUCUGUGGCUUAGCAAGUCCUUUAUCCAUGGAAAGCUUGGAUGGAAAGGAUGAGGGAGUAGAGGAUGUCCUUUUUGCGGGUUUGGAUGCCGGUUUAGGUGCUCGAGGCACCAAGUCUAAGACUGUAGCAUAUUGUUUAACAGGCAUAACUGUAGACAUGAAAGGAUGAGGUGUAGCAAUGGGAAAAUUUAGUGGAGAAGAGGUAGAUUGCUUAGAAGGGUAAAGAUCUCUUUCUAUUUCCCGGAGUUGCUCUUUCAGCCUUAAGAUUUCUUUGUCCUUUUGCCAGAACAAAGGUGAUGUAGGCUGAGUUGCCAUAAUCUGUUCCAUCUCUUGUUCAAGCUUAAAUAGCCUAGAUGAAAGCUUCGUGUGCAUCCGUAAAGCUUCUUCUCUGAAUGAAGUGACAUGAGCUUCUAUGAAACUGGUUUUUUCAUAGACUUCCGAGAGUCUAUUGUCAAUCUUUUCCAGGUAGUAAUUCUGGGCAACAACAUUGUUUGUCUGCCAGUUCAAAACUUCUUCUGCAGCUGAGAGAGGGGCCAAACUGCCUGCAGGUUGGACUGUAUCCUUCACAAUGAAAGGACGGGCAGGAGCUUUGAUCUGUUCAUUUUCUUUCCUCACCAGAGGAGGAAAUUCCUCUGAGUUAACCAUAAAACAUGGCACUACGAUUGGCUCUGGGAUUUUUACUGGUUCAAAAGAACAAGAGCAAACUACUGGAGGAGGAGGACAAAUCCAAAGUCCUUCUUCCUUUAAUAUUUCAAAGCAUCUCUUCAUAUAAUCAUCAUUGGACAUUGGUUUGCUCUUUUCUGGUGGAAGACCAAUCCAGGGUCUUCCUUUCCUGGUUUGUACAGGAACCUGAAUGGAAUCAGGUUGAUCAUCGUCUUUGUCAUCAUAUCGAGGUGGACUAGUACAUGUAUGCUUUCUUUUCCAAGUCUUAGUCCCCUUUGAUCUGAUUUCUAGAUCAUCCAGAUCAUCUUGGCAAUUACAUCCAACAUCGCAUAUGGAGGGAUUAACAUCCCAGAUAAAGUGACCAUUAAUCUUGCCCUUAUAGACUUCCCAUCCGUUUGAUCUGAAGCUGUGAAUGGGAAUCUUCUUCUCAUAGGAUCUCUGUACUGGUUGAAUCAUAGAGAUAGUAUGAGGAUUUGAAGAUGAUGAUAUUGUGGAUGAUAGAUAUGAAACCUUGACAGACUUGUCAAGCUGUUUGAUGAAUACUGGAUCUUGUUUUUGGACAGGCUGUGAGCUUUGAUGAAGCUUCUCAUAAUUUGUGAUCCAUACUGAGGGAAUCAACCUCUCUAGCUCCUCUCUAGGCAACUGCCUAGGAGUCUGAACUAUGGUGGGAGUAAGACCACUGUCAGCAAAGAUAAACAGUGCGUCUCCGCUAGAGAGACCAGGAGUCUGCAGAUUUAUUGCAUGGUCUUGAAGCCUGUAAACCAUCUGGUGAUGAAGGGUAGCCGAAAUAGUAUCGGCGACCUGGUCAGCGCCUGUAAUUUGGACUUGAACCUUCAAGGCCUGACUAAGAUGUGAAUCUUCCAACGACAUGUUGAAAUUAGGGAAGAACGUUAGCACUAUGCUCCCUGCAUUCAAAGUUGUAGCAAUAGAGCCGAUUACAGCAUGUUCAUAAUUUAGAUACCGGGUAUCUAACAAGGAGAGUCUUGCUAUAACUGGAAGUCCUUGUCUCCCGUGAUAGGAGAGAACAAGUCUGAUGGCUCCGAAGUGGAGAUGGGUAUACUUCUGUUGUCUCCACUGCUGAAUAAAGUGUGGAGGGAUCUCUAAAGUUGCAUAUUGUUCUGUUGUAACUGAAGAAAGAACACACUGAGAAAGAGUAGAUGACUGAACAUACUCUUUCACUGCAAUAGAGGGUCUUAGAGAUCUGGAAAAAGACUGAUUACAGCGGAAGACAGAGUAGGGAUUAAGUAUAGGCACAAGGGAGUUCUGGAUCUGGGCUGUAUUAGGUAUAUGAGAUAUUUCUACCAGGUUAUCUAUCUUGUCUGUAAUAUAUUUUUUAUAAGAAGUAGGUAGAGUAAGAGAAGAAGUUUGAACAAUAGAAAUAGGGCUAGUACUGGUUUCCAUGUUUCACAACCAAGGCUCUGAUACCAAAAUAGGGGGGUGAACAGAAGAUCUACAAGUUUCUGAUGUGCAGGAUCCUCUGACGAGGCAAGCACAGAGCAUACGCUUAAUAGAAAGAUGAUAGACCGAGAAGAGAGUAAUAAGACUUUGAAAAUAGGGGGGUGAAUAGAAGAUCUACAAGUUUCUGAUGUGCAGGAUCCUCUGACGAGGCAAGCACAGAGCAUACGCUUAAUAGAAAGAUGAUAGACCGAGAAGAGAGUAAUAAGACUUUGAUAACUGUAAAUCUGUAGAGACACUCUAUGUGUAAGGGCACUCCUUCUUUACCAGUAACUCGUUCUCUAAGCCAGGCCGGGAGCUGUUCACCUCUACUUCUUCAACACAAUCACAACCAGCUAGUCAACAAUCUGAAGCUACAUCUUCAACAACAAUGAAUCUAGCUUUUCAGGAACCAUGGUCACAGCCAGAAGAAUCCCUUCUAUCAGCCUUACAGCUUUUGGCCCAAAUGGCGCCAUUAAGGUCUUCUAGGCCUUGUCCAUCUGACAAGCCCAGCCCAUCAAGAAGAAGACGUCGAAGCUAUAAGGAUAAUGACUCGGAUGAUUCUGAUGAUAACUACUCAGAAUGUGGAUCCACAAACAGACAAAAUAAGUGAUGUCAUGAUGCACUUUCAACAGCAAUAUUCUAUAUUAUGGUCUCCAUCAUUAUGAGUUGUUUGGCCUUAUAUGUUUUGGCUUUGUAUGUCAUUAUUAAAGUCUCUAUUAUUAUAGUCUGUUGGACACAUAUGUUUUGGAUUCUUGUAAGAAAGAAUAUAUUCCUUCACAUGUAUAGAGAUAAGCUCUAAGAGUCGUGUUAGAUAAGACUGCCAGAUGGCAAUCUCUUAUGGUCAGUGUGGAUUUCUAAAGAGUACCUCUUCUUCUAUAUAAGGAAGAGCUCUCCAGUUUGUAGAACAGGUCGUGAGAAAUAAAACCUCUAUCUUUUCUUCAUAUCUUUCAUGGCAUUCUAAAUUCUUUAUACUCCUUCUUUAAUAGUAUUCUCCUCCCUUCUUCAUUCCGGUCUGUCUCCUGUAUCCAUUAGAAAUGGUAAAGCUAUGAAAUUCUAAUUGCAUGUUGCUUUACCUUAAAUUUUUAAUCUUUAUUUUGAUAUGUGUUUAAUAAUUUCAUUAGACAACGAUAUUUAUUAAAUGUGAUGAUUGCGAUUUGGAAAAUGUGGCUUUUGUAGAACAUGUCACCUGAUGGGUUACAUCAGGACCGCGUGCGCACCGGUAAUAAUUAUGGACAGGUAAUAAGAUUAUUAUGAGUUUUUGCCUUGGUCGAGCAUGGCUCUCUGGGUCGAGUUGAGUUAAUUGCAAAAGGUAAGGUCCCUAGUCGAGCAAUGCUCUCUGGGCGCCGACUUGGUUGGAAUCAAGUGUUCAGGCUGUAGGUAAGGACCCUGGUCAAGCUUUGUUCUCUGGGCGCCAGACCUGUUGGAUUAAGAAAGCCGAAAGGCUACUAUAAUUUGGAGUUAGGGUUCUACUGAGCCAUUCGUCCUGUAAAAGUAAAAAUAUAUUUUAUUUUUAAAAUUAUGUCAUAGUUAUAUUAUAAUUCGUAUUUUAUGUUCAUGGUUCGUUAUACUGACUGAAGUAAUUAAUAUUUUCUGUGAAGACUGUAAUAGUCACAAGAUUAUUUGAUUUUAACUCACUCCCGAGACUGACAGUCUCAGUUGUAUUUUUUUCAGGUGACAGUUAAAGACCUUCGCCGUCGUGCACUUUUGACAGUCCGACUUCUUCUUCUUCGGACUUUUGUAAUUACCUUGUACUACUACACUUUGUUAUUAGUUACUCUAGAUUAUCCGUAGUAGAAAAUUUUAAAAUUGUUAUAAUUAUUCUGGUCUAUGUUGGACGUAUGAUGAUAUAAAGACCUGGUAGAAUUAAUUAUGAAAGUCAAUCAUGG